AGAGUUUGAUCAUGGCUCAGAAUCAACGCUGGCGGCGUGCCUCAGACAUGCAAGUCGAACGCGAAAGUUUCCUUCGGGAGAUGAGUAGAGUGGCGCACGGGUGAGUAACACGUAGGUAAUCUACCUUCGGGUGGGGAAUAACCCAGGGAAACUUGGGCUAAUACCGCAUAAUGCAGCGGCACCACAUGGUGACAGUUGUUAAAGCGGGGGAUCUUCGGAUCUCGCGCCUGAAGAGGAGCCUGCGGCAGAUUAGCUAGUUGGUAAGGUAAUGGCUUACCAAGGCGACGAUCUGUAGCCGGCCUGAGAGGGCGGUCGGCCACACUGACACUGACAUACGGGUCAGACUCCUACGGGAGGCAGCAGUCGGGAAUUUUGGGCAAUGGGCGAAAGCCUGACCCAGCAACGCCGCGUGAAGGAUGAAAUCCUUCGGGAUGUAAACUUCGCAAGAAUAGGAAGAAUUAGUGGGGGCUAAUACUCCCCAUGAUGACGGUACUAUUUGUAAGCUCCGGCUAACUCCGUGCCAGCAGCCGCGGUAAUACGGGGGGAGCAAGCGUUGUUCGGAUUUACUGGGCGUAAAGGGCGCGUAGGCGGCCAGCACAAGUCAGUUGUGAAAUCUCCGGGCUUAACUCGGAAAGGUCAACUGAUACUGUGCGGCUAGAGUGCAGAAGGGGCAACUGGAAUUCUCGGUGUAGCGGUGAAAUGCGUAGAUAUCGAGAGGAACACCUGCGGCGAAGGCGGGUUGCUGGGCUGACACUGACGCUGAUGCGCGAAAGCCAGGGGAGCGAACGGGAUUAGAUACCCUAGUAGUCC
rnacentral:rRNA from 1 species